rnacentral:lncRNA from 1 species
GGCCCGCCAGUCUCCGGCAGUCAGGAGAUUCAACUCCCUCUACGUUUCCCCACCUGUGUGGACAAGAAGCUUUUGUUACACAUAAAUCCUUCGUGCUGUGCUUGGGAAAUUAGUAGAAUGCUCACACCAGGGCCAGGAAGGGCUAGCAGUGGUGCCUGUGACCCCAGCUAUAUGGGGCCCCCAUGAGAGAGGCCCCAGACCACAGCCAGUGCCUGCAGAGAGUGCUAACAAGGAGCCCGGGAGUGUAAUGGUUGUUAGCAUCAGAAAUGUCCACGGGCAGCCAGAAACUUUACAGCCAGCUUCUGAACCCAGCGACGAUGUCAUCCCUAGGCGACAAGGGGAUGAUGACCCUCCUGAGUCCAUCACCACAGCACCACCUGUGCAUGCUCUAUCUGCAUCACCUAUACAUCAUCACCUGCGCAUCACCUGCACAUCAUCACCUGCGCUAGUUACCUGCGUCACCUGUGUUACCUACAUCAUGGUUUGGAUAAAAGACACAUACCAGCAUGUAUAGCACUCUCUCUCUCUCUCUCUCUCUCUCUCUCUCUCUCCUUCUCUCCUUCUCUCCUUCUCUUCUUCCUCCCCACCCCCACCUCCUUCAGGGGUGACUCUGUCAAUAAAGACCUCUCUAAUGAGAACUGUGCUGGCUUGGCAUGAUCUGUUCAUUAAU